rnacentral:other from 1 species
GUGGCCCUGCCCUGCCCGUGAUGUCAAAUGAGGCUUUGACCCAACACCCUUGUCCAGGGAGCCCGGACUUCAGGGAAACCGAGGUUUCCCCGAGAGGGCACCCACCUUUUGGAGGACGAGGAUCAAAGCGGUUGGCACACGACAGCGGCGGGGUCACC